GUUGUUAGCUGAUAUCCAUGGCAGCUGCAGUGGCAGGGUUUGCAUCCAAGAGAGGGGAGGACAGGGGCAAAAGGAUGCAGGGAGGCUGCUGAUUUCCACUGAAGAGCUAAUUUCCUGUGAGACAUUAACAGUGAUUUAAGAAAAAGAUUCCUGUAACUGUAAUGUCUUACAAUAACAGAAUGCAGGAGAGCACAUAUCAAUGAAGAAAAGACAAAAUGUACUUAUCCAUGAAGCUGAGGUUAAGAAACCAGUGUCUUCAAGAGCCAGGGACAGCACUGGGUCUGUGCAGAGUUGAGAGAUGGUGAUGACAUGGUGAGACACAAAUUCAGUCUAUUUCAUAGUUUGUGGUCAUUCCUAUUAAUAAACUUCCUUUCACAACUGUUUCAAUAUUCACACAAAAAUGUUAACCCAAUCUGCAGUUGUACCCCUUGAAUGUAAAAUAAAAAACAAAAGCCCACAAAAAUAGGAAUCCACACUUAAAAGGUGGAUUUAUUUAGCACAGUAUGGAGUUUCUUAGACUUCUCUAUCACUGUCUCUAACAAUGACAUACUCACCUAACCCCACUAAGAGCAACUUUAUUUCAUCUCUAGUUUUCGUCUAAAGAUUCAUGUGGAUUUUAGAUUCUACUCUUUUGUAGGUUCGUAUUUGUACUAUUAUAAAAUGUGACUCUCUCUCCAAACUUUGCCUAAAUUAUGGAAUGAUUUUUCAUGUUUAUCCAGUGGUUUCCAGCAUUCUUGGCCCAGUCUGGGAUUCUACUCUUUUGUAGGUUCGUAUUUGUACUAUUAUAAAAUGUGACUCUCUCUCCAAACUUUGCCUAAAUUACGGAAUGAUUUUUCAUGUUUAUGCAGUGGUUUCCAGCAUUCCUCACCCAGUCCAGGGACACUGUGGGUGUGCCCAGCUUAAGUCCAGUAACUGGAAAUACAAGCCCAAGUUCUGGAGAGUUUGAGCUGCAGAGAUAUAUAUGGGAACACUUUGAAUCUUGACUCAUUGGCCAUAACCAGCAGAGUGGAAAAUACAAGAAGAGAAAAAAACAUUGAACUGCGAUUUUAUAACAUCCUUUACUAGGCAGAGAGAAGAGGAAACACCAGGAAAGAAAACUGUAUUACGAUGUGAAAACUUAAUGUUGAGAAAUUCAGGCAUCUUGGGGUUAGUGAGGAGAAGUUUUAGGGGCUUAGAUUCUUCUAAACACAUGUACAGAAAUGCAUAUUUCAUCUGAUAUCAAAUGGCAUUUAUAGUGCUAAUCUUUACCUCAAGACUUCACAUCUUUUGGUGAUUGCAUCUUUUAGGUUUAUAGCAGCUAAGUUUGCAUGAAAACACCAGGGCUGUUUCAUUUCAGUCAAGAAUUAAUGUUCAUUGAUUGUGCUUCUGCAUUUCAUGUAACUAUUGUAGAAUUUGUUUUAGUUUUAUGAGGGAAUAAUUGUUCCAACUUCUAUAUAACUCAGGAAUUUACUCUCAAACAACACUGUCAAUUAGUUACUUAUCUCUCUGGAAAUGAUCUGGGAACAUGGAGAGGAAAGGGAGGAAGGGGCAAAAUCUGACCACUUAAAUCUAAGCAUAUUAGAUCAUUUUAUGCUAGAAAGUCCUGAAUGAUGUGACUUUCGUUCUUGUAAAACACCUCUUUCCAUAGAUUCAUGGCCCAAACAGUAUAUAAAGAGUGGGGAAGGAACUGCAUUUGCAAAUAGUUCAAAUCAUUGCUCCAUCUUAACUACGCAGUUCACAAAGUGUGAAGAAAUGUGAUCAUCUCAAAAAAGAUAAUGGGGAAAAAAUAUGUUUUGUUCUGUGACUUUAAAGUCUUGCAAUAUUUUACAUAAA
ensembl:lncRNA MAGI2-AS3 MAGI2 antisense RNA 3